GACGAACGCUGGCGGCGUGCUUAACACAUGCAAGUCGAACGGAAAGGCCCUGCUUUUGUGGUGUGCUCGUGUGGCAAACGGGUGAGUAACACGUGAGUAACCUGCCCUUGACUUUGGUAUAACUUCAGGACUCUGUGGCUUAUACCGGAUAAGAGCUCCUUCUGCAUGGUGGGGGUUGGAUUGUUUCGGCGGUUGGGGAUGGGCUCGCGGCUUAUCAGCUUGUGGGUGGGGUAGUGGCUUACCAAGGCUUUGACGGGUAGCCGGCCUGAGGGGGUGACCGGCAACAUUGGGACGGAGAUACGGCCAAGAAUCCUACGGGAGGAAGAAGUGGGGAAUAUUGCAAAAUGGGCGGAGGCCGGAUGAAGCAACGCGGCGGGGGGGAUGACGGCCUUCGGGUGGUAAACCGCUUUCGCAGGUGACGAAGCGUGAGUGACGGUAACUGGUAAAGAAGCACCGGCUAACUACGUG
rnacentral:rRNA from 1 species